CCCAGCCGCCCGCUUCCGCCACGUCCUCCCAUGGCGACCGCUCUCCCGGCCACCGCCGCUUCUUGCCUCCUCCAGCUCUCCCGGCGCCGCCUCCCUGGAACAUCUCCACUGCUCUCCCCGCUGCGCGCUGCCACUUUCCGCUGCCACGGUGGCUCUAGCGUGGCCUGUUCAUGCUCGCCCGGGCCCGGGCCCCCGCCCGCGGUUCCUGCGGAGAGAAGGGGCGGCGGCGCUGGCGAGGCCACGUCGCCGGAAGGCACCGUACGAAUUGUCGCGGUGGUUGGAGAAGGUACCAUAAGCCCGAUUAAGGAUACGCCAUGGGAAGAGGUCAUGCGCCACACGGCUGAUAGGCUCAAGUGGGUCGAUGAGGAAUUUGAGAUGCUUGUCUUCACAGAUAACUCAAUUGAGAACAAUGAUAUUAGGAAAGAGUUAUCACGAUGUGACAUGCUACUCAAUGUUGCAGUUACAAAUCAGGAUGCUGUUGAAUGGCUUAUAAACAACAGCAAAGACAUUUCUAGUGUAAUUUGCUUUCAGUCAUCUCCAUCUUUAUUAAACAAGCUAGGUGGUACAUAUGUUCAACACACUGGAGAUCAGGACAUGUUUGGCAAGCUAUCAAGUAUUGGAAAACCAAGUGGCAUAAAGGAAUCAGCUGAAGUUCUUAAGACCAUAUCUAAUGCCUGGGAACGACACAAUUCAGAUGACAUUAGAUUUUGCUUGCUUGUUGUCAUAAAUGCAUACAUAAGGCCAGUUGCUAUUCUGAAAAACCUAAGGGCAAAAGGCCUUUCUACUGUAAGUUGUAUGAUAAAGAACUGCGGUCCACAGAUACUUAAUUGUCUGUUUGAUCCUAACUGUAGGAAGGCCCUUCAGUGUUUGAAUUCCUGCUCUCCGACUGAUCAAGUGUGCAACUACCGCUGUAUUGCAUCAUAUGAAAGUCCAUAUCUGGAGGCUUUUUCUCUCUGUGUUUUGCAGAAGAACAAUUGUCUUGACCUCAAUGCUGAGAUACCCAGUAAACCGUAUGUAAUACCGCUAACCAUGUUCAGAGAACAAAAACUAAGCCAUGAAAUCGCAGAAGACCUAUUUGUUGGUUGGCUGGACAGCAUGGAAUGGAGUUGGAGAGUGGCAGCUGGACAAAAUCCAGCAUAUGAUCAAUUCCCAUGUCAGUACCAGUUAUUCUACAGAGGGAAAGCCAAAGGUUCAUUUUGGUAUGAGCCGGUUUUUCAGGUCAAAACCCUGGAAGGGAAGCUGCUUUGGAGGCGCAGAAGGUACCGUGUGAGAAGAGCUAGCACUCCUGGUACAUUUUACUUCAGUGUGUUGGAUAAUGGUGUCAUUUCCAAAGAAUUCUGGACAAUUGUUGAUGUUGCAGAGGAUUUCAGUUGGGGUCUGUUCCAUUAUCAUGGUGCAGCACAGGCUGCUGGGCUAUCUUACACUGGAGCAGUGCUUGUUACCCCAGACGGGUCUUAUCCUGAUGUGGAAGACCCAAGAUUGGCAUCUGCUUUAGAGAAAUGUGCUAUAAAGAAAUGGGAGCUGUAUACGGUUGAUAACAGUUGCUGCAUGGGUGCGCCACUGGGAACUCCUAAAGGUUCAAAGCUGCAUCAUCAGAUUUGUCCAGGGAAUGAAACUGGUAUUUUGCAGAGAAGAUGGUGAUGUAUUUAAGUAGCAAGAAAGGAUCAAUUUGGUACCCAAAUGAUUUUUGUCUUACUAAAGAUGCCUGUAACCAGCAGACAAGUGGACAAGCAUUGCUGGGGAGAGUUCAUAUGUAACCUGCAGGCUUUAUAUAUAUUUACAGGCUUACAGAACAGAUGACUCUGGUUAGUGGUUAUGACCUGCAAUGUUGAGCAGGCGUCUUCAUCACAAAUGUAGAGCUGCUAUACUCUCCGCAAGAUCGAAACUGUUUUCCUGUCAUAUUGUGCCAGUCUUAAAAUCCCUAAUGGUAGAACUCGAGAAUUCUGAUUUUGCUGGCAUGAAACUACCUUGGUGUUUAGCAAUACUUGUAUUAGAAGUCACAUCUGAUGUAGUGAUGUUCUUAUCUUCAUUGAUGAGAACUAGAGUUAGCUGCUUAUUGUAAAUUUGCAGUCAAGAUGAAGGUGUCUUGUAGAUGAUUCAGUAUUUUACACAUAAUGUUACAUUUUUAGCA